UCGAGCGCAAUGCGGUGAAAGUCGCAUGUUGCGUUCUUCGGGGCCCCCCGCUGCCAUAAGGCAGUGGGGCUACCCACAU
rfam:Candidatus Burkholderia brachyanthoides strain TZHbot7 BRCHctg390, whole genome shotgun sequence.